GUGCCAGCAGCCGCGGUAAUACGUAGGUGGCAAGCGUUGUCCGGAAUUACUGGGCGUAAAGGAUGCGUAGGCGGAUAUUUAAGUGUGAUGUGAAAUCCCCCGGCUUAACUUGGGGGCUGCAUUUCAAACUGGAUGUCUUGAGUGCAGGAGAGGAAAGCAGAAUUCCUAGUGUAGCGGUGAAAUGCGUAGAGAUUAGGAAGAAUACCAGUGGCGAAGGCGGCUUUCUGGUCUGUAACUGACGCUGAGGCAUGAAAGCGGGGGGAGCAAAGAGGAUUAGAUUCCCUGGUAGUCCACGCCGUAAACGAUGAAUGCUAGGUGUAGGAGGGAUCGACUCCUUCUGUGCCGCAGUUAACACAAUAAGCAUUCCGCCUGGGGAGUACGGCCGCAAGGUUAAAACUCAAAGGAAUUGGCGG
rnacentral:rRNA from 1 species